AAGAUCAUACUUCACAGGAUCAUUUCUGUAGUAUAUCUUCACAUACUCUACACUCAAACGUAGAGUUGACGCAACCACGAUGAUGAGUUACAGCUCUAACUCCUGAGCGUGAGGCAGACUGCUCUGGAUAUUUGUCAAUAUCCUGAGUCAUGUCAUCGAUGAUCGUUCACUUGUUCUAUUUAUGGAGCAAGCAUGGGGUAGGAGCAGUCCGAGUGGU